GAUCCAUAUGGUCACCACUCUAAUACAACCUCUUUCUUCAUCUGUAGGAACAAACAGCACUCAAACCUUGGUGAACUUGCUUCUGAUACAGGUGACUGCAAAGCAUUCAGGAUUACACCACUCUGCAACAUGUACAUUUUUUUAAUUUGGUGAGUUGGGGAGCCACAUACUGCAGUCUGCUUCCCGUUUCUUUUGAGAGGUAGCCAAAUCUGAUUUGUCUCCCUAGCAAUAAAUAAAAUACAAUUAUUUGUGUCAUCAAGAGCUCUAUGCUUAGGAUGUGACAUACAAGAUCUCAGUUAACCCUAAUAACCUUACAGCAUAUGUACUGUUGCUACCAACUUCGAAAGGAGGAGAUGGUUCACUGUCUUCCCCAGGGUCACAUGACCAGUAUGCUGUGGGAUUGUGACAGAAACCUGAUCUGACCUUAAAUCCCAGGCUCUUAAAGAUCACCUCGAACUAGCGUCGCACUGCAUUGCAUUUGCAUUGCAUUGCAUUUCCCUUCCUUCCACUCCUCCCACCUCGUUUUGUAAACACCUUUCCACUGCAUUUGUUUUCUGGUGAUUAAGAGAAUGAGCUCAACAGACCUUCCCACAGACAUAUCCAGCCUUUAUGAAGUGUCAGCUUAGUGUCAGACACUGUGCUCAGGGCUGGCUACAGAGAUGAACACCACCAUUGCCCUCGAGAGGCCUAUAGUCCAAACUGUGGAGGGGGCUUCAAAGCAAGAUAAUGGUGUCUUUUGUUCUGUGAAAGCCACGCGAUGCCUAGACAGUCCACUGCUGGCUGCCGAGAGAGUGGAAGUGAACAGAAGCUUGGGCUGAGGGCUGGGAGUGGAUACAAGUGACCCCUUCGGCCCAAGGAAUGAACGGAGAGCUAGUUAAGGACUAUAAGCCUUUCACAGCAAAUUCCCAAACUAGAAUGUUUUGGUUCUAUAAAUGGAGAUGUUACAAGGGGAACAUUAGUUUGAAGUAAAACUGAAUUUUGAAAAAUUUUUACAAACUUUUGUAUAGUUAUGCUGUUGGCGUCACUCUCCAAUUCCACAUAGUUGUUGGGAGUCCAGCUGUUUACUCCCUCGAUUUGACUCUGUCAACUCAAGUGGCAGAGAUAUCCCAAGUUCCAGUAAACACACACAGCUCUUUUUAGCUCUGGCAGGCGCACUAGGGGGAAGCUGGAAGGCCUGGUUCUGGCCAGGCGUGGGCUACAGCCUUAACAGAGAGGCAGUGUUCCCCGGGAUCCAGCAAGGCAGUGAUGGGGAUCAAGUCUACUGAUUGUUCAGAGCAACACAUCUAGCUCAGAACAUGAGCUUCUGGAGAGCAGUGUUUUCAGCCUUAUCACGCGGAGAAAGACUGAGGGAAAAGAGGAUGCUCCCCUAAAGAAAUAUGCGGAGAAAGCGUGGGGUUGCGAGUCUGACAUCGCAGUUGGAACUUCGCCUCCAUUCUCCAGCUAGCAUCGAAGAUGGGGAACCAACGCCCAGGAAGUGAAAGCUCAAACAGCUGGCCAACACCAAUAUGGGGACUUCAGCUUUGGUUUAUCUGAAUCCAAAAGUGAUGGUCUUCAAUGAUGUAAGAUUCACAGAUGACAGGAGACCCUGUAACUUCCACCGAAGUUAAAUCAGGGUAAGUGCACUCUCCAGUCUUUUCCUAAGUUUCAAUUUAUCAUUUCAAAUGUAGUGAAAUCAUUAAAUAAAUUUGAGUUAGAUACACACACGUAUACAAUGUAUUUACCUAAAUGUAAGACAUUUAAGUAUCAUAAAGUUCUAAGUUAGUUAUGGAUGGGGGAAGAUUUUGAACCAUUUGUUAAAAAUUAUCACCAUGGGUGGGGCACCUGGGUGGCUCAAUCAGUUAAACAUCCCACUCUGGAUUUCAGUUCAGGUCAUGAUCUCAUGGUCAUGAGAUUGGGCCCCACAUCAGCACUCUCAGCAUGGAGCCUACUUCAGAUUCUCUCUCUCUCUCUCUCUCUCUCUCUCUCUCUCUCCCUC